rnacentral:RNase_P_RNA from 1 species
UAACAGAACGGGCACAUGUAAACUCCAUUCGAAGCAAGACCGAAACGAAAGCAAUACGGCUGCCCGUCGUGCUUUCAGGUGGGUCGCUUGAGCCAGCUGGCAACGGCUGGCCUAGACAGAUGAUCACUCAACGACAUAACCCGGCUUAUCGGUCUACUUGCAUA